GUAAGGAAUAUUGGUCAAUGGGGGGAACCCUGAACCAGCCAUGCCGCGUGCAGGACGAAGGCCCUACGGGUCGUAAACUGCUUUUGCGCGGGAACAAACCUCCGGUCGUGACCGGAGCUGAGCGUACCGCGAGAAUAAGGAUCGGCUAACUCCGUGCCAGCAGCCGCGGUAAUACGGAGGAUCCGAGCGUUAUCCGGAUUUAUUGGGUUUAAAGGGUUCGUAGGCGGCGCGUUAAGUCAGGGGUGAAAUACGGCAGAUCAACUGUCGCAGUGCCCUUGAUACUGAUGCGCUUGAAUGCCGCUGGAGGCGGCGGAAUGGGACAAGUAGCGGUGAAAUGCAUAGAUAUGUCCCAGAACCCCGAUCGCGAAGGCAGCUGUCUAAGCGGCGAUUGACGCUGAUGCACGAAAGCGUGGGGAUCGAACAGGAUUAGAUACCCGUGUAGUCC
rnacentral:rRNA from 1 species